rnacentral:rRNA from 1 species
GACGAACGCUGGCGGCGUGCUUAACACAUGCAAGUCGAACGGAAAGGCCCUGCUUGCAGGGUACUCGAGUGGCGAACGGGUGAGUAACACGUGGGUGAUCUGCCCUGCACUUCGGGAUAAGCCUGGGAAACUGGGUCUAAUACCGGAUAGGAGCCAUUUUUAGUGUGAUGGUUGGAAAGUUUUUUCGGUGUAGGAUGAGCUCGCGGCCUAUCAGCUUGUUGGUGGGGUAAUGGCCUACCAAGGCGGCGACGGGUAGCCGGCCUGAGAGGGUGGACGGCCACAUUGGGACUGGGAUACGGCCCAGACUCCUACGGGAGGCAGCAGUGGGGAAUAUUGCACAAUGGGCGCAAGGCUGAUGCAGCGACGCCGCGUGGGGGAUGACGGCCUUCGGGUUGUAAACUCCUUUCGCUAGGGACGAAGCUUUUUGUGACGGUACCUAGAUAAGAAGCACCGGCUAACUACGUG